CGAAUAUAUUAUCUUGAGGUAAUGUAUUUGAGUCGCGUUACGCAUUCACGAUUGGCUAUGACGCGUGUAGGUAAAUACGAUACCUAUUUCUAGAUUGAUAUGUUAAAAAAAUUGAUUCAGAUCAAGAGUUUUCAAUUUUCAUACAAAUAUCAUUUGUCUGAAUGCAGAUCUAAAUAGAUUUGAAGGCAAAAGUUACAUCAUUUUUGCCUUUAAAUGUAACCUCAUAGAUUACCACUUGGCUCGGUGAACUAAUAAGAAGCUCAGCUUGUACCGGUCGUUUAACGGUAGGUAUUUCAAACUGGACCUUAUAAAAACAUCGUUAUAAAUCUAACAUCUCAUCACAAAGGAGCCUACGGCCACGUCUCAAUGCUCAUGAUGGAUCAAUUAUAUGGAUAGGUACUAUAUAUUUUUUUGCGUCGAUUAAUGCGUGUCGAAUGUGCAGUGAUCUAUUGUCACCGCGAUCCGGGUCCGAUAUGGAGAUGAUGGUACUGAUGCUUCGAAGCAUUUAUCACGUUUGAUAUAAAGCGUAUUAUCGCUUGUUUGUUUUUGUUUGUAUGGUUUGGUUAUAGCUUAAUGUGACAUUGUGUGCGUUUAAGUCCGGUACCAUUGAACGGAGGACGCGGGCAUUAGUGGUCCGCGCACGAAGGGACCCCGGCCGCGUAUAUAAGGAUACGGCGGGAGGAACUGACACAUAUCAAGCAGCAAUCCCGUCUAGUGCUGACUAGAACAGGCUUUGGUGGCUUUUUAAACCACACGAAACCACGAUGAUGAAAUUGAUGGCAUUGGUUGUGUGCCUUCUGGCGGCGCUGGCGCUGAGCCCUGCAGAGGCAAAGCCCCAGGUGCUGGUCGACUACGGGUACUCCGGCUACUACGCACCCGCCUACGUCUCCCCCUACAGCGCUGUCGCCUACUCCUACCCGUACGCUUACACUUACUCUUACCCCUACGCGUACUACUAGACCGAGUAACUCGAGUGGACUUCGUCGGACAAAGGGGUUGUGAGUUAUCGUUAUUUUACUGUUCGAACACUUAUUAAAGAAUCGUACGAUGCCUACCAAAACAUCCGUAUUGAAGUAGAUACCUGUACCUACUUUGCAAUUCCUUUUUACGAAUGACAUAACAUAAUCGACGGUUAACAGGCUCGAGAGUUUAUCCAGUUAUACUCACAAACAAAUUUGUGUUGCGAAGACACUCUGUAUAUCCAACUAACCUGUGAUGUAACUACCUAAUAAUUUUAUUUUAAAUGUAUAAUUAGUGUAAUGUACCUAAUUUUUUUUUUUAAUUUCGGUCUAGGCCUCACAACCGAUGUAAGUACCAUUUUUUUAGGUACCAUCAGCCCUAGGUCACAAUCACAAUGUAUAAGAGCUCUUAGUGGUUGUAUUUUUACAAAACAGUAAUUUACUUUCAAUUGCGAAUUGUUGUUACCUACCAAGAUAUUGGGUCUAAAUCUUAAUGAAACACCGGCCUUGACUGAUUAAUUAUUUCUCUGUAAUGGCGUUAAAUGAUUGCUAAUAAAUUGCUAUCAAAUUAAA